rnacentral:rRNA from 1 species
AUUGAACGCUGGCGGCAGGCCUAACACAUGCAAGUCGAACGGUAGCACAGAGAGCUUGCUCUCGGGUGCCGAGUGGCGGACGGGUGAGUAAUGUCUGGGAAACUGCCCGAUGGAGGGGGAUAACUACUGGAAACGGUAGCUAAUACCGCAUAAUGUCGCAAGACCAAAGAGGGGGACCUUCGGGCCUCUUGCCAUCGGAUGUGCCCAGAUGGGAUUAGCUUGUUGGUGAGGUAAUGGCUCACCAAGGCGACGAUCCCUAGCUGGUCUGAGAGGAUGACCAGCCACACUGGAACUGAGACACGGUCCAGACUCCUACGGGAGGCAGCAGUGGGGAAUAUUGCACAAUGGGCGCAAGCCUGAUGCAGCCAUGCCGCGUGUGUGAAGAAGGCCUUCGGGUUGUAAAGCACUUUCAGCGGGGAGGAAGGCGAUACGGUUAAUAACCGUGUUGAUUGACGUUACCCGCAGAAGAAGCACCGGCUAACUCCGUG